GAAAAUUUUAUUUUCACUUCUGGCUUCAGAAGUUUCAGUCCAUGAUCAGCGGGCUCCAUUGCUUUAGGGCUAUGGCAAAGCAGAAGUAUCAUGGUGGAAAGAUACGGUAGAGAAAAUCUGUUCACUCCACGGCAGCCACCUAGCAGACGGUAAGGGGAAGAACCAGAGAGGGAAUGACCAGGGAUGAAGUAACCCCCACCGUCAGGCCCACAGGGCCCACUCUCUUCUACUGAACCCCACCUCUAAAGUUUCCAUUACUUCUCGGGCAUGGCAUCAUGCAUUAUCUCAUCAGCAAAUUAAUCCACUGAUGAAAUUAGAGCCCUGAUAGUCCAAUUGCUUUGUAAAGGGUCCACCUCUGCCCACUUGAGAUUUGACGGAUAUUUUAGACAUGAACCAGAACAGAUGUUUUACCACCUAUUUGGGGAUUCCUUGGCCCUGCUAAAUUGCCUUGCAAAGUUAAUUUUCACAACAGCAAGGAGAAAGAACUCAUAUGAAUUAGCCGAAAUACAGUUCCCUCCUGGGCUUUGUUUCCGCACUUGUAUCAGAAUGAAAAAACACGUUAGAAACGCAAAACCGAUCUCCCUAACUGUCCUGCGCAUGACACGGUGACGACAUGCGCACAGACGUUGCCCAUUUCAGACUGUUCCGGACUGCGCUCAGGUUUCUACUGUCGAUCUGCGCCGCGUGGUCUUACUUUGUGCUGAUACAUCGGGGAAAAUUAGAAAACAAUAAUGCAUAUAAUGGAGAUGAAUAUAAUGGGUAUAAUUUAGACAGCCGGAAACUUCUCUUGUUGGUUCCUACCAGAUCAUUUGUGAGAAGCUCAGUGAGAGUCUUUUGA
rnacentral:lncRNA from 1 species